rnacentral:ncRNA from 1 species
GUAUACAACUAGGGGAGCCCAUGUAAAAUCACAAUUUAUGUAUUUUAUGUGGCUGAGAAUUCCAAACCCUUAUUACCAGAUCAAGAUAAUGCUUGCGAUGGGAAGUUGUAUUCAACCAAU